rnacentral:sRNA from 1 species
AACUGAUCAAACAAAAGAAGACACUCUACACCAAACUACAACAUUAGAACCAGAUGUGUCCUUAAAUCGUACAAAGCUAAGAAACAAAUAACUUUAGCUGGUUUGCAACAAGGAGAAGAAGAAUGAUCUAUUUUUGAACUAAGCAUUGAUAAUUUGCACAAAAAAAAAACAUCCAUAUAUAUAUUUUCUCUUGUUCUCUCCUGUCUUUUCUUUUUCUUUUUUUUCUCUCUCACUUCAAUAUGAGUGUCAAAUUUACCUCUAGGCCUCGUUCUGAAGAACAAUAACAUCAAAUGAUAGAAACACAAAGUUGGUGAAGGAGAAGUAUGUGGAAUACAAUCCGCAUAGUCCCCAUAUUGUUUUUCCUUUUUCAAGAUCUUGUGUGAGGGAAGAAUUGCGUACCACUGCCACCCAUGAAAGUGUUGACCGGAGCGGAAUACAAGGAGGAAGGAUCAACAAGUGCCCCAGAAGAAGUGACAACGCCAGAAGCAGUGAGGUUCAAGGGCUGAGCUCCACCAACACCAGCAGAGGUCUCCCCGGCCAUGUAAUUAUUACUAUUAUUAUUACUGUUAUUAUUAUUGCUAUUCUCAGGACCAUGGUCAUAAAGGAUUCCUUUGAACAGAUGUCCCCCAAUGUUCACAGCCGUUUGAUAUGCAUACCUGUCAUCAGCAUCCUCCACGCAGCUAACCCUCACGCACCUGAACUCAGCAGGAGAACUCACCACAGAUGGAAAAUGCCCUUCUUCUAACCCUUCUUUUUUUUUCAACACAUUAAGAAACAAAAAAAGAAACAACAUUAGGCAUGUAGCUGAAUGAUCCAUGGUUUGAGAGAAAAGCAACAGACUGAAACAAAAAAAGAAAAAAGAAGGGUCUUUUUACUGAAAAACUAGAACCUAAUAAUCAACAAAGAAAGAAAGUGAAGGAGAGGCGACUGGAUGUGCGUGGAAGUGAGAGAGAGAAUGUGCUAAGAAAGAGGAGGAAAAACAGUUUCUUGCUGUCAAUCCAUUCAUUCGUCAGGGCUAAUACAUAACAGUGUUUUGGGAAAGGGAAAGGGCUAAGGAAAAAAAAAAUUUAAAAAAAGAGAGAAAGAAGAAAAGCUGAUAUAUGAAAAUGGUGGAUUUUGGUUCACACGCAAUCGAUACGGUUCCAUUGUUUGCAGAAACUGCGAGUCCUUCUGUGUGCAUCACUGUGAACAAACAAAGACAAAACAAGAAGCACUGGGAGUGAAUUAGUUGGUGGGUGAGGUGAGGUGAGUGUGUUAUGUACCUGACGAGGGCAAACGAGUGCAAGCGGUUGGGUCCCUUGGCCGUUUGGAAAGGUCUCUCUGUUGUUGCUGCUGCUCUUGCAAGACAGCGAGCUGUUGCUGACGCUCGCGACGUUUGGAAGCGGGAACCCAAGUGCUUUUGACAUGGGUUUGGCACUCGUAGCCGCGGCUCUUGCAGCACGUUCUGCACCGCAUGUGUGGACAAUCUUUUUUUGCUUGGUUCCCGCAGUCCUGGCAGCUUAUUCCACCCUCCGCCGCGCGCAUAGCCACAAACGCUGAUCUAGACGAGGAGUGAUCAUCGGAGACGCCUCGACUGGGUCCCACACCGGAGGAGUAAAGAUCUCGCUGCAGGAGAGGCCGCGCAUGCGGGGGCAUCACAUGCUGCUCCUGCUGCUGGUUCCAUAGCUCGAACCCUCGGUAGGAUGAAACGUCGUCAGUUUUGCUAUACCAGAAUAGGGUCUCAGCCGCAGGAAUCUCGUUGUUGGUAGUGUUGUCUUGCUGGUUGUUGUUACUCCCUCUCCCUCCGCCUAAUGAGAACAAACCCGCCAUUGUUCUGCACCUGACCCGAGCUUCAAUUGUGGCCCAAAAUCCAUAUCAGAAAACUGGAUGGGUGUGGGUUGUUUGAUAUUGAAAAGAACAAAAGGAAGAAAGAAGCAAGCAUGUAAAAAUAAGAAAAAAGAGAAAGAAAAACAAAAGAACACGGGUAUAAGUUGCCAGUUGUAACUAUUGGUUGAAUUAAUUCUCUGGGUUUUGAGCUUUGAAUGAGGCGUGGGGUUGAGAAUUGGGAUUUGGGAGUGAGAAGAGGAGGACAAGAACAACAAUAAAUAUAAUACAAGUAAUAAUAACAAUAGCAAGUAGAACUGGGUUGAAUUUAUGUUGAGGAAAUUAUAACCCUGUUGGUUGGAUUUUGUGUUGUGUUGUGUAGUGUAGAGUCAUCAAUAGUGUAGCCUCCACACACAAUCAGAGACAUAAACACAAGCAGCAAAAACAGAAAAACAAAACACAGAAUAACACUGGUAUUUUAAUUUUUAUUUAGGAAGAAAAAGAGUGAAAAAUGGUUAAAAUAUUUGAAGAAGAGUGUGUUGGGUGUUGUGUUGUGUUGUGUUACAGCAUGUGGUUAUGGGUAUGGGUUAGCCGUUGUGGUUGGAGAAAGGGUAAUUGAAGCUUCGUUGGUUAAGGACAGGCGUCGAACAGUGUCGGGCAGCGUUAAUCGCGCUUUCAAUUCUUAGGUCACUCUCCGAAUUCAGCGUUUGUUUG